UAAAUUGUCAUUUAUUAUUUCUGGCAUAUCUGUAAGUAUAGCCCAGUAUUUAAUAAGUCGGCCUCCAUCAUCCACUGGUGGCCUUUGGUUUCUAAGACAAAUCCGGACCUGAUGUGAAGUCAUUAGAGUCAGGGACUGUCCCAUAGUGAGCUUUGAGGCUCUUUUAUGAGGACUUUUCUAGGUUGCACUAAAGCAUCUCUUU